GGGCCUUUAGCUCAGACGGUUAGAGCGUUCCUCUGAUAAGGAGAGGUCCCUGGUUCGAGUCCAGGAAGGCCCA
rnacentral:tRNA from 1 species